UGGGGAAUAUUGCGCAAUGGGCGAAAGCCUGACGCAGCGACGCCGCGUGAGGGAUGAAGGUCUUCGGAUCGUAAACCUCUGUCAGCAGGGAAGAACGGUCACUGUGCCUAAUCAGCAGUGAAUUGACGGUACCUGCAAAGGAAGUACCGGCUAACUCCGUGCC
rnacentral:rRNA from 1 species